rnacentral:rRNA from 1 species
AUGGAACGGCCGCCGCCGCCAGAGCCAGGAUUCGCCUCUCGAGGCAGAGCACGCUUCACCUCUACCAUCUUCCCUCCAAGAUCGUGGAAGGUUUUGUGCAGCACACGGUCAACCGCAUCCUCCGAGUCAAAGGUAAUGAAGCCGAAGCCCCGGGGGCGCUGUGUUGUCUGGUCAUACAUCACCACAACAUCGGUGACAGCCCCGAAGGUCUGGAAGUACUGCCGGAACUCCUCAUCUGUCAGACUGGAGGGCAGCCCGCCCACAAAGAUCUUCUUUGUCCUAGCACCACCGGCAUCGCCUCCGCCACCACCCCCUCCACCUCCAGCGUUCCUUCCUGCGCUAGGGUUCACCGCCUUGGUAGCCUGCUGCUCCUCCCGCGAGAGCGCCCGCUUCACAUCAACCUGUACCGUGCGGCCGUCGAGUGUGUGGGGCUCUUGGAGGGCGGCGUCGACAGCGGCGGGGUCGGCGUAG